rnacentral:lncRNA from 1 species
AUGACCAUACCCAUCACAUUCAUAGCACUGAACUUCUUUUCCUUCUUUGGGCUUUUCUUCAGACCUUGUUCUUCUUCCAAAACUGUUGGAUUUACUGAUGUCAGAUGCGAUGUUCUUAACAUUGGCCUUAGAUCUUACAUCUAUCUUUUUCAUAAGUCUGUUGAACUGUCUUCCCAACAUUGCUACCUCACUUUCCAGAUCUUCAUCAAUAUCUUGACCACCUUCCUCAUCUUCCCCUUCAGUAUUUGACAUGAAGGCUAUGCUCU